UACGUGAGGGUGCAAGCGUUAAUCGGAAUUACUGGGGCGUAAAGCGUGCGCAGGCGGUUUUGUAAGGUCUGUCGUGAAAUCCCCGGGCUUAACCCUGGGAAUGGCGAUGGAGACUGCAAGGCUGAGAAUCUGGCAGAGGGGGGGUAGAAUUCCACGUGAUAGCAGUGAAAUGCGUAGAUAUCGUGGAGGAACACCCGAUGGCGAAGGCAGCCUUCUGGGCCACAACGUGACGGCUGAGGUACGGAAAGCGAUGGGUGAGCAAAC
rnacentral:rRNA from 1 species